AUCUAGCUGACGAGUCCCAAAUAGGACGAAACGCGCGUCGUGUAU
rnacentral:hammerhead_ribozyme from 1 species